rnacentral:tmRNA from 1 species
GGGGUUGACUGGUUUCGACAGCAAGACCAAUGGGUAAGUAAGCAUGCAGAGAACCGUAGCGCGAUCUCUUAAAUCCCUUGCUACAACAUUUUAACUGGCAACGAAGAGUUCGCUCUUGCAGCUUAAUAAUCGAAGUUUAGUAGAUUCAAGCGUUUCCCGAAGAUUUCAGUAAGGAAGCAAGAUGUCUCACCAAUGUUCUGUUCUGCGACGUUGGAUCCUGGGAUAUAGGAAUGCGGAAAUAAGGUUUUGGAUGCUUUGACCAAAACUCGAAAAUUUUUAGAAGCUAAGGUUUAGGUUGGGUGUUUGCUCUCUGCCUGAGCUCGAAAAUCAAUAGCAAAAUAAGCAUGUAGAAAGCUUGCGUAUUGCUUGUUUGGACGAGGGUUCGAAUCCCUCCAACUCCACAA